UAUAAAUAGUAUACAGUGAAACUGCGAAUGGCUCAUUAAAACAGUUAUAGUUUAUUUGAUAUUUGAAUCUAUAUGGAUAACCGUGGUAAUUCUAGAGCUAAUACAUGCAUUAAGGCUGACUUUUUGAAAGGCUGUAUUUAUUAGAUAUUAAACUAAUAGUGGCAACACUGUUAUGAUGAUUCAUAAUAACUGAUCGAACCUGAGCUUGCUCAGGUAAAUCAUUCAAGUUUCUGCCCUAUCAGCUUUCGAUGGUAGUGUAUUGGACUACCAUGGCAAUCACGGGUAACGGGGAAUUAGGGUUCGAUUCCGGAGAGGGAGCCUGAGAAACGGCUACCACUUCUAAGGAAGGCAGCAGGCGCGUAAAUUACCCAAUCCUGACUCAGGGAGGUAGUGACAAGAAAUAACAACUUGGGUCCUUCGGGAUUACAAGAUUGCAAUGAGAACAAUUUAUAUCCCUUAACGAGGAUCAAUUGGAGGGCAAGUCUGGUGCCAGCAGCCGCGGUAAUUCCAGCUCCAAUAGCGUAUAUUAAAGUUGUUGCAGUUAAAAAGCUCGUAGUUGAACUUCUUGGCAUCCUUUAAGCAGGCUUCGGUCGUUUCAAGGGUGUCAAUCCGCUAGGGAACUACAUUCGCACUUCACUGUGCGGUGUAAGGAACUGGCAUUUUACUUAGAAAAAAUUAGAGUGUUCAAGGCAGGCUAUCGCCCUGAAUACACAAGCUUGGAAUAAUGAAAUAGGACUAUUUCCAUUUUAUUGGUUAUUGGAUUUAGUAAUGAUU
rnacentral:rRNA from 1 species